rnacentral:rRNA from 1 species
UACGUAGGGUGCAAGCGUUAAUCGGAAUUACUGGGCGUAAAGCGUGCGCAGGCGGCUAUGCAGGUCAGAUGUGAAAUCCCCGGGCUCAACCUGGGAACUGCAUUUGUGACUGCAUGGCUAGAGUACGGUAGAGGGGGAUGGAAUUCCGCGUGUAGCAGUGAAAUGCGUAGAUAUGCGGAGGAACACCGAUGGCGAAGGCAAUCCCCUGGACCUGUACUGACGCUCAUGCACGAAAGCGUGGGGAGCAAACAGG